AUGGCGUCGCUCUCCCUCUCCCUCCGCGCCUCCGCCUCCUCGGCCGCAGCCGGAUCCCGCGCCGCCGCCCCAAUCAAGGUCUCGUUCACGGCGUCGUGUGUGAGGAGCAAGGUUACCUGCAGCUUACCAUCCAUCAGAGCUACCUCCUCACCUGCUAGAAGCAUUGAGCCCGUAAGAGCCACCGCCACACAGGCGCCCCCUGCCACCCCUCAAUCUUCUAGCAGAGAGAAGACAAAGGUCGGCAUCAAUGGUUUUGGGCGGAUUGGGAGGUUAGUUCUGCGAAUUGCAAUUGAUAGAGAUGACAUUGAAGUUGUGGCUGUCAAUGAUCCGUUUAUCGAUGCUAAGUACAUGGCCUACAUGUUUAAGUAUGAUUCCACACACGGUCCAUUCAAAGGAACCAUAACAGUUCUGGAUGAGUCAACCUUGGAGAUUAAUGGGAAGAAAGUCUCAGUUACAAGCAAAAGGGACCCGUCAGAUAUCCCUUGGGGUAACUUUGGAGCUGAAUAUGUUGUUGAAUCAUCUGGUGUUUUUACAACAGUUGAGAAAGCUUCAGCACAUUUGAAGGGGGGUGCAAAGAAAGUGGUGAUAUCGGCUCCGUCAGCGGAUGCUCCCAUGUUUGUUGUUGGAGUAAAUGAGAAGAAUUACAACCCUAGCAUGGAUGUCGUCUCUAAUGCUAGUUGUACCACCAACUGUCUUGCUCCUGUUGCCAAGGUUGUCCACGAGGAGUUUGGCAUUCUUGAAGGCCUAAUGACAACUGUCCAUGCCACAACAGCCACUCAAAAGACUGUUGAUGGUCCUUCAAUGAAGGACUGGAGGGGAGGACGUGGUGCUGGUCAAAACAUCAUCCCUAGCUCUACGGGUGCAGCAAAGGCUGUUGGAAAGGUCCUUCCAGCUUUAAAUGGAAAGCUCACUGGCAUGGCCUUCCGGGUUCCUACACCUAACGUAUCUGUUGUUGAUCUGACCUGCCGACUUGAGAAAAAUGCUUCCUAUGAAGAUGUGAAAGCAGCUAUCAAGGAAGCAUCAGAAGGUUCGCUUAAAGGUAUUCUAGGCUACACAGAUGAGGAUGUUGUUUCAAACGAUUUCGUUGGUGACACAAGGUCGAGCAUAUUUGAUGCCAAUGCUGGUAUGGGACUAAGUUCAUCUUUCAUGAAGCUCGUCUCCUGGUACGACAACGAGUGGGGCUACAGCAACCGUGUCCUCGAUCUGAUCGGGCACAUGUCUCUUGUUGCCUAA
rnacentral:rRNA from 1 species